GAGAGACCUAAUAUGAUUGGGAUGUAAGUUGUUUGCAGUUAUAGUGUUCUUCAUUUCAUGUUAACAUGUUAUUUCAAUGAAUUUUGAUUGUUUUUAUAUUUUCUUGUCUUGUUUUCAAAUCAGUUGUUUUCUUUAUGUUGGUAGAAUGAAAAGAGAGAGGAGAGACAAAUUUUCGUCUAUCUAAAUAAGAAAGAGGAGGGACUUGAGAUGCCUCCUUUGAUGAAGGGGGAAAUUGGUACUAUGCCAAUUUAUUAAUUAUUAUUAGUUAUUAUACUGCUGCCUUACAACUUUGUAAAUAUUGGUGAAUAUACAAUUCUUUGGAGGGCUAAGCUAAUAACAAAUGAAAGUCUUUGACCCCAAGCCCCUAAAAAAAGUAAUAAAAC
rnacentral:misc_RNA from 1 species